rnacentral:lncRNA from 1 species
CAUUUUCCCGUGUGGUGACCAAAUGAGACAGGCCAAUUGCUCCUCCACUCCGUACACAGGCUGCUAGGAGCCCACUGGCCCUCAUGCCUACCAGUCACGCCUUCGCUCAUGAGGCAGCAUCCAGAUCAGACUCUGCCUGAUACUGUCGAAGCAGCCAUAGACCUUGCAGUCUAAACCAGAAUCAUCCAAGACAAACGAGAGGAAUACUGGACGACCAGUAUGGGUCAGCAUGGGAGUCCUGAGCAAGCUCAGAACUGGCUAUUACUCCAAAAAUAAGAGAUUUACAAAUACUUUUUAAUUAAUUAACUAAUUAAUUAAAUUUUAGUAUGCUUUU